CCGGUUAUCAAUUCUGAAAUCUAUCGAGCCCACGAGGUUUGAGGAUGUUUCCAAACCUCUAUCCAUCAAUGUAGGUACCAGACAAACAAGUCGGUCAGCCGAGGACCUCAAGGCACCGAUAGUGAAAUGAUUUUCUCCACAAUGGGUGAGGGACGAAGGUGGUAAAUAGGAUCAAUAUCCCAAUACCUGGAAGGAAAAAUAAUUAAGCACCUCGUCGC
rnacentral:lncRNA from 1 species